rnacentral:rRNA from 1 species
GGACCCGACUGCUAUCAGAGUGGGAUUAAGCCAUGCGAGUCAACGCCGAAAGGCGUGGCAUACGGCUCAGUAACACGUAGUCAACAUGCCCAAAGGACGUGGAUAACCUCGGGAAACUGAGGAUAAACCACGAUAGGCCAAGGUUUCUGGAAUGAGCCAUGGCCGAAAUCUAUAUGGCCUUUGGAUUGGACUGCGGCCGAUCAGGCUGUUGGUGAGGUAAUGGCCCACCAAACCUGUAACCGGUACGGGCUUUGAGAGAAGGAGCCCGGAGAUGGGCACUGAGACAAGGGCCCAGGCCCUAUGGGGCGCAGCAGGCGCGAAACCUCUGCAAUAGGCGAAAGCUUGACAGGGUUACUCUGAGUGAUGCCCGCUAAGGGUAUCUUUUGGCACCUCUAAAAAUGGUGCAGAAUA